GGAGCCGUAGCGAAAGCGAGUUUUAACUGAGCGUUCAGUUACUUGACGUAGACCCGAAACCGGGCGACCUACCCAUGAGCAGGAUGAAGCGAAAGUAAAAUUUCGUGGAGGUCCGAACCCACGAGCGUUGAAAAGCUCGGGGAUGACUUGUGGGUAGCGGUGAAAUUCCAAUCGAGCCCGGAGAUAGCUGGUUCUCCCCGAAAUAGCUUUAGGGCUAGCCUCAAGGUA
rnacentral:rRNA from 1 species